ACCUAACAGUUACAUAAUGUGACUGACAUUUGCCAAGAUAGGAGAUUCACAUG
rnacentral:ncRNA from 1 species